GUAACCGGGCCCGAGCUGCGCCGGCCCGGCCCUGCCUUCCCUCGGCGGGCAGAGAUCAAAUGGCUUUUCCUCAGGCGGAAAUCUCGCGUCUCGGCCUUUGAGUGACGCUUCUGUCCUCCCCCGGCAUAUCCGUCAGCUAGCUUGCCUCACACAUUUUAGGCUGAGAGCUUGUUUUCCGUUGUUUGUGAAAGCAGCCUGUUCCAGCGAGUCACAGCCUUGUACAAUUUUAGAAUCACAGAACAGUUUAGGCUGGAAAAGAUCUGUAAGAUCAUGAAGUCCACCCGUUAAUCCAACACUGCUAAGUCACCACUAAACCGUGUCCCCCAGUGCCAGGCCUACACCUCUAAUUUUUCUAGGGAUGAUGAUUCCAUCACUUCCCUGAGCAGCGUGUUCCAAUUCUGAGUCAUGAUUGGCAUCAGAUUGAAGUGGUAACAUCAGGAAAAUCAGUCUGUAGUUCCUACCCAUCUUAAUUAACCUAAAGGUCUGAUCAAACCUGAAGGCUAUCUUCUACUAAUAGGUAAUGUAGUCACCAGUACAAAACAAGGCUUUAUGUUUGCACUAAAGUAUCAAAAUCCCUCCCUCAAGGAGCACAGAAUCUGCAGGGCAGGACAUGAACUCACAAAUCAAAAUCAAAAAAUCAAAAGAACAAGUAUUCACUGAAAUACAUGCAAUUUCUCAUAAUAAUAAUAAUCUUCAUUACUUAAAAACAUUCUCAAAUACAAGAAGAAAUGAGAACAGGAACUUUACUGGAAUGGAAAUGCCAAGGGAACAUGUAUCCACAGCCAUAAGGAGGUAUCCAGGAGUUCUAUGCUGAAGAGCUGAUGAAAAUAAAUUUGAGGAGGAGGAAAAAUGAAAACUAUUAUUGAACUCAUUUGAAAAUGCACAGAAGUAACAAGUCUGCUUUUAAAUUUUUAUGAAGUGCAAGAGAUGAGCAAGUUUUGAACUGUGGAAGGUCCUGUCUUGCCCUUGUCUUAACCUGUGUCAAUCUGUGUUUAGUUUAGUCCUGCCAUGCAACAAGUGCCCAGUUCUCUACUCCAUCCUGUUGUACCUGCUUUGGUUAACAUUGAUGGUGGCUUUCAAAGCCAGUGAGCUUUCAAGCUCUGAUGUUUCAGCCCUUACAUAAACAGUUCUACUGACUUGAAGUGCAAGGUGUGGCACCCCCAGCUUGGCAUGCUGUGAGUAGGACAUUUUGUCACCAUAGGCAAAGUGAUCAAAUGACUGCACUCCUUUCUAAAAUGCUUUGUUCUCAGGAUUAACACCCUCCUUUAAGAGUGGAAAGAAAGGUUUUCCAGGUUGUGUCUGAAGCUGUGCACAUGCUUUUAGAUCUCAGAAGCUGAACUGCACUCAACCAGGAAACUGCUAAAGAAGCUGUUCUAUCCACACUAUAAGGAACACAAACUGGGCACUGCUCCACUUGGUUCCUCCUUUUCAUUUUUAACUGUACAAAGUGGAGACAUAAAGGAAAUAACAAAGCCAGGACAGGCAUGAUGAACUCCAAUUACAAAUAAAUCAGUGCUCUUGUUUUAAAAGUUUGAGCUUCA